rnacentral:lncRNA from 10 species
UCCUGCCUCAGCCUCCCAAGUAGCUGGGACUACAACAAUUUUAUUCUGCUCAAGAACCAUUGCUGGGGAACUAAUGCAGUUAUUUGAUGGGCCAAGGCACAGCUCAGCACUCUUGGGCUAAAUACUGUAACCCUGGAGGAUUGGAUCAGACCCAUGGCUUUGUUCUCUGGCUUCUUGAGGUUAAGCAUCUGCUGUGGUGGAAGGGCCGAGGUGUUCCUGUCUUCUGGCAAAAGCACUACAACACGGGGUGACAGCAAAAGCACUCGAUCUGGGUGAUGGCAGUGGGAUCAGCAUGUGUACAUUAGCAGCAGCAAGGUGGUGGUGGUAUCCACACAUGCACAUGCCAGAUAUAUAAUUUGUAAGCUAUAAAUGUACUUAACACCAGAGACCCAAAAUAUGUGAAGAAAAGACACAUAAUUGAAGAGAGAAAUAGACAAUUAGAUAUAAUUCAAUACUCCACAUUCAAUAGCGAAUAGAAUAACUAGGCAGAUCAAUAACAAAAUAGAAUACAUGAAUAACACAACAACAGUAUAACAUAAUGAAACCUACUAUACACAUAAAGAACACUCCACACAACAACCGAGAAUACACAUUAUUCUCAAGUGUAUGUGGAACUUUCUCCAGGAUAUACUGUAUGAUAGGUUAUAAAACAUACCUCAAGGGUUUUUUUUAAUGAUAUAAUACAAAAUGCUUUCUCAGACUACAAUGAAAGAAAGUUAGAAAGUGAUAAUAGGAGAAAAUUUUGGAAAUUCACAAUUAUGUGGAAAUUUAUAAGAUAAUUGGUCAAAGAGGAAGUCACAAUGGAAGUCAGAAAACACCUUGGGAAAAAUGAAUACCGAAUCACAACACACUAAAAUUUGGGGGAUGCAGCUAAAGCAGUGCUUAGAGGGAAAUGUAUUUGUAUCUGGCUAUCUUAAAGGAAAUAAAUAUUUCAAAUCAACACUAUAAGUUUUCACCUUAUAAAAUUAGAAAAAGUAGAGCUAACCACAUCCAAAAUAAAUGAAAGGAAAUAGUGUACAUUAGAACAAAAAAUGAAAUAAAGAAUAGAAAAUUCAAUAAAGUUAUCAAUAAAACCAAAAGUUACUUCUUAGAAAAUAUAAACCUUUAAUUGACUGAUAGAGAGAAAAACACACAUAUUUGAACAAAUAGUAUAACUUGAUUGCAGAUAUAUGUAUCGCUGUAUCUUUGGUGGUAAGUUGAGGCAGUAUAUGUCUGAUCACUCUGGAUAUCUGUGUAAAAUAAAAUGCUAGGUGGA